AUUGAACGCUGGCGGCAGGCCUAACACAUGCAAGUCGAGCGGAUGAAGGGAGCUUGCUCCUGGAUUCAGCGGCGGACGGGUGAGUAAUGCCUAGGAAUCUGCCUGGUAGUGGGGGAUAACGUCCGGUAACGGGCGCUAAUACCGCAUACGUCCUGAGGGAGAAAGUGGGGGAUCUUCGGACCUCACGCUAUCAGAUGAGCCUAGGUCGGAUUAGCUAGUUGGUGGGGUAAAGGCCUACCAAGGCGACGAUCCGUAACUGGUCUGAGAGGAUGAUCAGUCACACUGGAACUGAGACACGGUCCAGACUCCUACGGGAGGCAGCAGUGGGGAAUAUUGGACAAUGGGCGAAAGCCUGAUCCAGCAAUGCCGCGUGUGUGAAGAAGGUCUUCGGAUUGUAAAGCACUUUAAGUUGGGAGGAAGGGCAGUAAGUGAAUACCUUGCUGUUUUGACGUUACCAACAGAAUAAGCACCGGCUAACUUCGUG
rnacentral:rRNA from 1 species